UUAAUUGAAGAGUUUGAUCAUGGCUCAGAUUGAACGCUGGCGGCAGGCCUAACACAUGCAAGUCGAGCGGUAACAGGGGAAGCUUGCUUCUCGCUGACGAGCGGCGGACGGGUGAGUAAUGUAU
rnacentral:rRNA from 1 species